UACAUUUAAGUUAGACAGCAGGAGGUUUUCUGAUUAGUGACACCUCAAAAUCUACUUUAGAGACAACUGGCAGGGAAAUCUAUGCUGAGUGGAGAAACAGAGAAAUCUCUCUGGUAUUCAAAUGAUAAUUUCAGCUUAACCUGCCGUCACUUCAGCAGACAUUACUGAAGGAAAUCAGCCUGCGGGAAGGAUGACACGAUCAAUACGCCUGAGUUUGAGAAAUGUGAAACUUGUUCUCUGAAAUGUGAUGACAGACAGACUACUCCUCAGGAAACUUAAGUCCUUCAAGGAUGUCAAAAGCCAAGAAGAGCAGUGGUGGCCUAAAGGUUAGAGAAGCGAGCUUGUGACUGGAAGGUCGUUGGUUCAAUCCCCAGACUGGCAGGAUAAAUCUCAGUGGGGAAAGUGAAAAGCAGCUCUCAACCCCUCCCUCAUUACCACCACUGAGGUGCCCUUGACUACCAGCUGACAGCUUUCGCUCUUUUCCAAGCUCUCAGGACCUUUCAUUGAACAGUUUGGUGUCCUGAGGGGGACAUCAUAUCACGCAACACCUCAUUACUCCCCCGGCUGUGAGGGAGGACGGAGACAGACGGGGUCGAAACAAAGCCGACAAUUAGCCCCAGAAAAGGCCCUGAUUAGGAGUUUGUGGUCCAUUACCUUCCGCUGCUCACCCUCAUAGAAACAGCGAGGAGGAGGAGGACCUGCUCCCUGAGGGGCCACCGAAAAAAACACCAGACCAUUCUUUACUGGAGGAAAUAUAGAGAAGUUUGAAAUGAAACAAGUGGAAAUGAGCUGAAGGGUUUCUAGCACUCUGAGAAACUUUAUUUUGUUAAAAAGAAGAAUGUGGGUAAGAGGAAACAUAACACAAAUGUUUAAAAGUCAACAAGUUUAGAUUCACUGUGUUUUGAACUCAGGAUGAGAAGGUAACAGGACGGUAACUAACUACAGAAAGUCCACACUGAGAGUGGAACAUUUAACAAAUAUAACUUUAUCUUUGGUCGUAAUAAUGAUGGUUUAAACUCAUGUUUGCGUUGCCGUUUUGACAUUAGCAAAGUGUGAAAAAGUAGUGAAGCAUUUAACAAUGCUAAUGUUUAUUUGAUCACUUUUUAUAGUUUUGUCUUGUUUGAAGUCAAUAAACCAACACCACAGUCUCCAUCAAUAUAUAUUUACCAUCUGUGGAGACAAAACAAUUUAUAUCUGCAUUCAGUCAUAUUUAUCUGGAUAAAAGUCUGUGUUUCAGUAAUUUCUGCUCCUGUUGUUGAUCUCAUCGUUGAUGUGCACGUAUUUAUUCGUCUUUUAAGAAAAUUGUGACAUGUGACGUAUGUAAGCACUUUGGGGAAUAAAAUGCAGUGUAUAAGACACGAGAAAAUAGUGAAAACGCUUGUUUUAAUUUAUUAGAGCCAAAGCCACUUCAGAUAUCU